rnacentral:tRNA from 1 species
GGGCGAAUGGUUUAGUGGUAUAAUACUCCCUUAGCAUAAUUCGACCGAAUAGUCAACUGGGAGUGGUCCAGGGUUCGAUUCCCUGUUCGUCCA